rnacentral:rRNA from 1 species
UAGGGAAUCUUCGGCAAUGGACGAAAGUCUGACCGAGCAACGCCGCGUGAGUGAAGAAGGUUUUCGGAUCGUAAAACUCUGUUGUUAGAGAAGAACAAGGACGUUAGUAACUGAACGUCCCCUGACGGUAUCUAACCAGAAAGCCACGGCUAACUACGUGCCAGCAGCCGCGGUAAUACGUAGGUGGCAAGCGUUGUCCGGAUUUAUUGGGCGUAAAGCGAGCGCAGGCGGUUUCUUAAGUCUGAUGUGAAAGCCCCCGGCUCAACCGGGGAGGGUCAUUGGAAACUGGGAGACGUGAGUGCAGAAGAGGGGAGUGGAAUUCCAUGUGUAGCGGUGAAAUGCGUAGAUAUAUGGAGGAACACCAGUGGCGAAGGCGGCUCUCUGGUCUGUAACUGACGCUGAGGCUCGAAAGCGUGGGGAGCAAACAGG